UACGGGGGGGGCAAGCGUUGUUCGGAAUUACUGGGCGUAAAGGGCGCGUAGGCGGCCUGCUAAGUCGGAUGUGAAAUCCCUCGGCUCAACCGAGGAACUGCAUCCGAUACUGGCGGGCUUGAAUCCGGGAGAGGGAUGUGGAAUUCCAGGUGUAGCGGUGAAAUGCGCAGAUAUCAGGAGGAACACCAAUUGCGAAGGCAGCUCGCUGGGACGUUACUGACGCUGAGACGCGAAAGCGUGGGGAGCAAACAGG
rnacentral:rRNA from 1 species